AUUACUGACACUCAGUGCACGAAAGCUAGGGGAGCAAACGGGAUUAGAUACCCCGGUAGUCCUAGCCGUAAACGAUGGGCACUAAGUAGAGGGAAUUACCGAUGUUCUCUCUGCCGUAGCUAACGCAUUAAGUGCCCCGCCUGGGGAGUACGGCCGCAAGGCUAAAACUCAAAAGAAUUGACGGGGGCUCGCACAAGCGGUGGAGCAUGUGGCUUAAUUCGAUGCAACGCGAAGAACCUUACCGGGGCUUGACGUGGUAGAAGUAGGAACCCGAAAGGGUAACGAACGGUAUCCAGUCCGUAGCUAUCACAGGUGUUGCAUGGCUGUCGUCAGCUCGUGUCGUGAGACGUUGGGUUAAGUCCCCUAACGAGCGAAACCCUUGUUUUUAGUUACCAGCGGGUUAUGCCGGGUACUCUAGAAAGACUGCCGUCGUCAAGACGGAGGAAGGUGGGGAUGACGUCAAGUCAUCAUGGCCCUUAUGCCCCGGGCUGCACACGUGCUACAAUGGUCGGUACAAACGGAAGCGAAGCCGAGAGGUGAAGCGAAUCCAAGC
rnacentral:rRNA from 1 species